rnacentral:rRNA from 1 species
CCUACGUGUGGCAGCAGUGAGGAAUAUUGGUCAAUGGACGAGAGUCUGAACCAGCCAAGUAGCGUGAAGGAUGACUGCCCUAUGGGUUGUAAACUUCUUUUAUAUGGGAAUAAAAUGUUCCACGUGUGGGAUUUUGUAUGUACCAUAUGAAUAAGGAUCGGCUAACUACGUGCCAGCAGCCGCGUUAAUACGGAGGAUCCGACCGUUAUCCGGUAUUAUUGGGUUUAAAGGGAGCGUAGGUGGAUUGUUAAGUCAGUUGUGAAAGUUUGCGGCUCAACCGUAAAAUUGCAGUGGAUACUGGCAGUCUUGAGUACAGUAGAGGUGGGCGGAAUUCGAGGUGUAGCGGUGAAAUGCUUAGAUAUCACGAAGAACUCCGAUUGCGAAGGCAGUUCACUGGACUGAAACUGACACUGAGGCUCGAAAGUGUGGGUAUCAAACAGGAUUAGAUACCCGGGUAGUC